rnacentral:misc_RNA from 1 species
AACGCACAUUGCGCCCGCCAGUAUUCUGGCGGGCAUGCCUGUUCGAGCGUCAUUUCAACCCUCAAGUCCUCUUACUUAGGUGAUGGGACUUGGUGUUGGGGGACCGGCUGGGCCUGCUGUUUACAGCGGCCUGUCGGCCCCCGAAAUAUAGUGGCGGUCUCGCUGCAGCCUCCUCUGCGUAGUAGUUCUUUUUACCUCGCUUACGGAGUGCGGCGCGGCCACGCCGUUAAACCCCAACUUUCUGAAAUGUUGACCUCGAAUCAGGUAGGAAUACCCGCUGAACUUAA